UACGUAGGUGGCAAGCGUUGUCCGGAUUUACUGGGCGUAAAGAGCGCGCAGGCGGUCGUUCAAGUCGAGUGUGAAAGCCCCCGGCUCAACUGGGGAGGGUCACUCGAUACUGAUCGACUCGAAGGCAGAAGAGGGAAGCGGAAUUCCCGGUGUAGUGGUGAAAUGCGUAGAUAUCAGGAAGAACACCCGUGGCUAAGGCGGCUCUCUAGUACGGUACUGACGCUGAGACGCGAAAGCGUGGGGAGCGAACAGG
rnacentral:rRNA from 1 species